rnacentral:rRNA from 1 species
CCCUUAGAUGUUCUGGGCCGCACGCGCGCUACACUGACGGAGCCAACGAGUAUUUUCCUUGUCCGGGAGGACUGGGUAAUCUUGUGAAACUUUGUCGUGCUGGGGAUAGAGCAUUGUAAUUAUUGCUCUUCAACGAGGAAUUCCUAGUAAGCGUGAGUCAUCAGCUCGCGUUGAUUACGUCCCUGCCCUUUGUACACACCGCCCGUCGCUACUACCGAUUGAAUGGCUUAGUGAGCCUUUGGGAUUGGCAGCCAACACCGGCAACGGUAGCUGGCCGCCGAAAACUUAUGCAAACUUGGUCAUUUAGAGGAAGUAAAAGUCGUAACA